rnacentral:rRNA from 1 species
AUUGAACGCUGGCGGCAGGCUUAACACAUGCAAGUCGAGCGGGGACUUCGGUCCUAGCGGCGAACGGGUGAGGAAUGCUUGGGAAUCUGCCCAGUAGCGGGGGAUAACGUUUCGAAAGGAACGCUAAUACCGCAUACGCCCUACGGGGGAAAGGGGGGGAUCUUCGGACCUCUCACUAUUGGAUGAGCCCAAGUCGGAUUAGCUAGUUGGUGAGGUAAAGGCUCACCAGGACGACGAUCCGUAGCUGGUCUGAGAGGAUGAUCAGCCACACUGGAACGGGAAACCGGUCAAGACUCCAACGGGGGGCAGAAGGGGGGAAUUUUGGACAAGGGGCGAAAGCCGGACCCAGCCUUGCCGGGUGUGGGAAGAGGGCCUUGGGUUUUUAAAGCCCUUUAAGCGAGGAGGAAGGCCUCGGGUUUAUUCCCCUUGGGAAUAGACGUUACCCGAAGAUUAACAACCGGCUACUCUGUGCCAGCCGCCGCCGUAACAC